UACAGAGGUCCCGAGCGUUGUUCGGAUUCAUUGGGCGUAAAGGGUGCGUAGGCGGUCUGCUAAGUUUGAUGUGAAAUCCCGGGGCUCAACCCUGGAAUUGCAUUGAAUACUGGUGGACUAGAGUACCGGAGAGGAAACUGGAAUUUACGGUGUAGCAGUGAAAUGCGUAGAGAUCGUAAGGAAGACCAGUGGCGAAGGCGGUUCUCUGGGCAUGUCCUGACGCUGAGGAGCGAAAGUGUGGGGAGCGAACAGG
rnacentral:rRNA from 1 species